rnacentral:misc_RNA from 1 species
AUGCGAUAAGUAAUGUGAAUUGCAGAAUUCAGUGAACCAUCGAAUCUUUGAACGCACAUUGCGCCCGCCAGUAUUCUGGCGGGCAUGCCUGUUCGAGCGUCAUUUCAACCCUCAAGCCCCCGGGCUUGGUGUUGGGGAUCGGCACAAGGCGCUGGCACCUCCGGGAGCCGCGCGCGCCCGCCGUCCCCCAAAUCCAGUGGCGGUUCGCGCCGUGUGUACCUCAGCGUAGUAGCAACGACUCGCUCCGGGACCCUCCUGCGAACCACGCCGUAAAACCCCCGACUUUUUUUCUGGUUGACCUCGAAUCAGGUAGGACUACCCGCUGAACUUAA